AUACGGAGGAUCCGAGCGUUAUCCGGAUUUAUUGGGUUUAAAGGGUGCGCAGGCGGGAGAUUAAGUCGGCGGUGAAAUUUUGCAGCUCAACUGUAAAAGUGCCUUCGAAACUGGGUUCCUUGAGUGUAGAUGAAGGAGGCGGAAUUUGUGGUGUAGCGGGGAAAUGCAUAGAUAUCACGAGGAACUCCGAUUGCGCAGGCAGCUUACUAAACUACUACUGACGCUCAGGCACGAAGGCGUGGGGAUCAAACAGGAUUAGAUACCCUGGUAGUCCACGCAGUAAACGAUGAUUACUAGCUGUUUGCGAUACAAUGUAAGCGGCUGAGCGAAAGCGUUAAGUAAUCCACCUGGGGAGUACGUUCGCAAGAAUGAAACUCAAAUGAAUUGACGGGG
rnacentral:rRNA from 1 species